UACGGAGGAUCCGAGCGUUAUCCGGAAUUACUGGGCGUAAAGAGUUGCGUAGGUGGCAGUGUAAGUUUGUAGUGAAAGCGUGUGGCUCAACCACAUAAACAUUAUGAAAACUGCACAGCUAGAGGAUGAGAGAGGUUAUUGGAAUUCCCAGUGUAGGAGUGAAAUCCGUAGAUAUUGGGAGGAACACCGAUGGCGUAGGCAGAUAACUGGCUCAUUCCUGACACUAAGGCACGAAAGCGUGGGGAGCAAACGGG
rnacentral:rRNA from 1 species